rnacentral:rRNA from 1 species
UACGUAGGGGGCAAGCGUUGUCCGGAUUUAUUGGGCGUAAAGAGCGUGUAGGCGGUCCGGUAAGUCCGCUGUGAAAGUCGGGGGCUCAACCCUCGAAUGCCGGUGGAUACUGUCGGGCUAGAGUGCGGAAGAGGCGAGUGGAAUUCCUGGUGUAGUGGUGAAAUGCGCAGAUAUCGGGAGGAACACCAAUGGCGAAGGCAGCUCGCUGGGACGGUACUGACGCUGAGACGCGAAAGCGUGGGGAGCAAACAGG